rnacentral:rRNA from 1 species
UACGGAGGGUGCAAGCGUUAAUCGGAAUUACUGGGCGUAAAGCGUGCGUAGGUGGUCUGUUAAGUCUGAUGUGAAAGCCCUGGGCUCAACCUGGGAAUUGCAUUGGAUACUGGCAGGCUAGAGUGCGGUAGAGGGUAGUGGAAUUCCCGGUGUAGCAGUGAAAUGCGUAGAGAUCGGGAGGAACAUCAGUGGCGAAGGCGGCCCUCUGGUCCAGUACUGACACUCAAGUGCGAAAGCGUGGGGAGCAAACAGG